rnacentral:rRNA from 1 species
UACGUAGGGUGCGAGCGUUGUCCGGAAUUAUUGGGCGUAAAGAGCUCGUAGGCGGCUUGUCACGUCGAUUGUGAAAGCCCGAGGCUUAACCUCGGGUCUGCAGUCGAUACGGGCUAGCUAGAGUGUGGUAGGGGAGAUCGGAAUUCCUGGUGGUAGCGGUGAAAUGCGCAGAUAUCAGGAGGAACACCGGUGGCGAAGGCGGAUCUCUGGGCCAAUUACUGACGCUGGAGGAGCGAAAGCGUGGGGAGCGAACAG